GGUCGAUCGGUGAUCAAGAAGGCCGAUGGCCUAGAGAGAGCACCUUCAUUGCACAUACAGAAGGGGGUCCUGUCUAGCAUCUCCCAUUGUGGAGAGUGCACGUCAUAAUUUGUGACAGCGGGGGCUCGCGUUCGCGCGGCCCCCACUCAAAUCGAAUUCUAAGAAUAAAUUCAGCAUAGUGCAGGCUACAGAGGAUAAUUUUAACGUCUGUUUGAUCAUUCAACUCUCUACUGUCCAGGGGUUUGUAGAGAGCAAACAUCUCCAUCGUCUGUACGAACAAAAUACAGAAAACUGUUUAAAAAUCACAAAAAUAUACUGAUUUCACUUUUCCUGAAACUGAAUAGAUCAAUUCUGCACCUUACUCAGAUUAGUGUGGAUUGACUACACAACAUCAUAUUCUAAACCAGCAGACAAUCAAUCAAAGUUCUCAUAUUUAUUUUCCGAGACAGGUAGUUGACUCAUUUCCAUUCUCAUAUUUCAUUAUCUGAGAUUAUUGGAGAGGUUAAUUGCUCAAUUUUGGUCCCAAUUCAUUAUCAGAAACUUAAGGAGUUGAUCCAACAUUUUCAUGUUGAUUUUCUGAAAUAAGAGCUAUUAACCUCUCAUUUUAAAAAAAGGUAUAUCUGCGUUUUCUAAAAUAGAGGGUGUUGCCUCUGGUUAGUAAUUCUUCAUUUCCCUGUAAUAAGAAAAGGGAAAUGGAUAAACACUGCAACUCAAUAACAAUUGUACACACAAUAAAAGCAACAAGACACAUCCGUUAAUAGGUGCAACACUUCACAAAAGACAGCAAUUUUUGGGCAGUUCUCUAUGGUUCUUUAUUUACAGUCAUUUUCUCUGUAUUAAACAAUUUUGAAAUUUUACGAGGUGGACUGCACAAAUUUCUCUGAUUUAGUUAUGAAAAAGUCACAGUUUUGGGCACCAUCUACGUCGUCUGUACGAACAAAAUCCAGAAAAAUGUUUUAAAAUCACAAAAAUCUAAAGUUCUUGUUCAUCCAAUCUGCUAAACUAGAAGUGAAAAACACCCCAGCAAAUACCCAGUUCGGCUAUAACAUGCUAAUACAAGUUGAACAGGGCCGACUAAGAUUACCGCCCUAACUUUUGAAAAUACAAUUAUCGAUUACUCCUAAACCAAACAGGUGUAAACAUACUUGGAGAGGGCCUACUCUUCCCAGACAACAAUUUAUUAUGAUGGCCGACUCAUAUGGUGGCCGAUCCCAUAAUCAGGCCUUAAACAAAGGCUAUGUAUAUAGACAGCAAUUAAAGUUAAAGGGAAGGCAGCGAUUUUAAAAUAGCAAAGGUUGUAAUGCCUAAAGCAGCGAUUGGAAUAUAUGCGGUGAUUGGCGUAUGGAAAGGUAGCGUUAGGAGAGUACUUAGAUUUAUAUAAUAUAUGUCUUAUGAAAGCCGACUAAGGCAAAGCGAGUUUAAAUAAUCAAGAGGGGAAGUGAUUCUUAAACAAAGGGAGCCGAGUUUUUCAUAAGGCCGACCUCAUAGAGGGGAUUAAGAUGAGUUGAAAGAUAAAUUAAAAUAAAAUCAGAAAUGAUUAAAGACGCUGAUCCUAGGAAUAGAGGAUUAAGAUGAGUUAAAAGAUAAAUUAAAAUAAAAUCAGAAAUGAUUAAAGAGGCUGAUCCUAGGAAUAGAUGCCUCUCUUGGGAAAUUAACUAGAUAUAAAAGGUACAUAGAGUAGAGGAUAGAAGAGUGUGUCCAAAAAUGACAAAAACAAUUCAAAGGGAAGAAGAUCAGAGUUCCCAUAAAGUGAGUGAUCAAAUCGUUUAAAUCGACUUGAACCUGAGAGUGGUACUCUGCAUACUCCUUUGUUGUAUGCUUUGUGGUAUGGAGAAAUAGAAGUUUUAUGCAGUGAUAGAUGCAUGUCUCCUCAUAUAUACAUAUAAUAGAUGUAUGUGUCCUUAUAUACUAAUAUAAUAAAUAUCUAUGCUAGCAGAAAAGGUAUGAUAGAUAUAUAAAAAAAAUAAAGUACAUCUGAAAAUUAAGAGAGAUGGAUCAAAUAAGGAUCUUAAUAAAUGAAUAGUAUUUAGCAUACAGUCCUUGAGCAUUAUAUAAGUGUUUGGGUCUCAUGCAUUAUCUUACUUACUAGCU